ensembl:miRNA
AAGGUUUCGGUGCAUGUGAUGAAGCAAAUCAGUAUGAAUGAAGUCAUGAUACUGUAAACGCUUUCUGAUGUGCUACUCA